rnacentral:rRNA from 1 species
CAGUCGAGCGAGAAAGCGGGCUUCGGCCCGUGAGUACAGCGGCGAACGGGUGAGGAACACGUGGGUGACCUGCCUGGGAGUGGGGGAUAACCUGGGGAAACCCGGGCUAAUACCGCAUACGUCCUUGGGGCCUUGGUCCUGAGGGGAAAGCUUGCCUCUGCGUGCAAGCUGGCGCUCCCAGAGGGGCCCGCGUCCGAUUAGCUUGUUGGUGAGGUAACGGCUCACCAAGGCGACAAUCGGUAGCCGGCCUGAGAGGGUGAUCGGCCACACUGGGACUGAGAUACGGCCCAGACUCCUACGGGAGGCAGCAGUGGGGAAUAUUGGACAAUGGGCGCAAGCCUGAUCCAGCAACGCCGCGUGGAGGAAGAAGGCCUUCGGGUCGUAAACUCCUGUCAGUUGGGACGAAAAGCCAUCGGACAAUACCCGGUGGUCAUGACGGUACCAGCAGAGGAAGCCCCGGCUAACUCCGUGCCAGCAGCCGCGGUAAUACGGAGGGGGCUAGCGUUAUUCGGAAUUAUUGGGCGUAAAGGGCGCGUAGGCGGCUUGGUAGGUCAAAGGUGAAAUCCCUCGGCUCAACCGAGGAACUGCCUUUGAAACCGCCUCGCUUGAGGCUGGG